GUUGUGCUGCACCCCGUGAACAAUAUUGUUAACAAGUUGUUGAACCAUCAACAUUGUUGCAACUUGUUGACAAUCAUGUUAACAACUUGCAACAGCAGUGAUGGUUGAACAACUUGUUAACAAUAUUGUUCACGGGGUGCAGCACAAC
rnacentral:miRNA from 1 species